rnacentral:rRNA from 1 species
UAAUACGUAGGUGGCAAGCGUUGUCCGGAUUUAUUGGGUUUAAAGGGUGCGUAGGCGGCCCUGUAAGUCAGUGCUGAAAUAUCCCAGCUUAACUGGGAGGGUGGCAUUGAUACUGCGGGGCUAGAGUACAGAUGAGGUAGGCGGAAUUGACGGUGUAGCGGUGAAAUGCUUAGAUAUCGUCAAGAACACCUAUAGCGAAGGCAGCUUACUAGGCUGUAACUGACGCUGAGGCACGAAAGUGUGGGGAUCAAACAGGAUUAGAUACCCUGGUAGUCCACACUGUAAACGUUGAUUACUCGCUGUGUGCGAUAUACAGUACGCGGCCAAGCGAAAGCGCUAAGUAAUCCACCUGGGGAGUACGCCGGCAACGGU